rnacentral:misc_RNA from 1 species
GAUGAAGAACGUAGCGAAAUGCGAUAAGUAAUGUGAAUUGCAGAAUUCAGUGAAUCAUCGAAUCUUUGAACGCACAUUGCGCCCCCUGGUAUUCCGGGGGGCAUGCCUGUUCGAGCGUCAUUUCACCACUCAAGCCUCGCUUGGUAUUGGGCAACGCGGUCCGCCGCGUGCCUCAAAUCGACCGGCUGGGUCUUCUGUCCCCUAAGCGUUGUGGAAACUAUUCGCUAAAGGGUGUUCGGGAGGCUACGCCGUAAAACAACCCCAUUUCUAAGGUUGACCUCGGAUCAGGUAGGGAUACACGCUGAACUUAAGCAUAUCAAUAAGCGGAGGA